AUGGACUUCCUUUGUGAGCUACCGUUAUAAAAAAGAAACUCAGAACAUGUGUAAAAGAAAUGCUGAAAAUCGGAAGAAACAAACAGUUCCACACACCGGUGGCUCCAAACCUAAUUCUAGAAGAAGGGCUGAAAUGAUGGCUGAGACAGAGAGAAAGCCUGGGCGAGCACAACUUUAUCUUGCUACACAUACGAAAAAG